rnacentral:rRNA from 1 species
UACGGGGGGAGCAAGUGUUGUUCGGAUUUACUGGGCGUAAAGGGCGCGUAGGCGGUCAGCACAAGUCAGUUGUGAAAUCUCCGAGCUUAACUCGGAAAGGUCAACUGAUACUGUGCGACUAGAGUGCAGAAGGGGCAACUGGAAUUCUUGGUGUAGCGGUGAAAUGCGUAGAUAUCAAGAGGAACACCGACGGCGAAGGCGGGUUGCUGGGCUGACACUGACGCUGAAGCGCGAAAGUGAGGGGAGCGAACGGG